GUGACAUUCAGCCUCAUCACUUUCCACCAUUCUUUAGAGCUUUUCAUCACCCUGUUUGCAAGAGCAAUGAUUUUACAAUCAAUAGGGACAGCAGGAACUGUCAGACAAGAGGCUCAUUACACAAUAAAACGGCCCAACCUACAAGACUGGUACAAAAUUCAGGAAGACAAAGUUGAAAGCUUCCUGAAUUUUCAUUCAAUACUUCCCUCUCCUUUUCAACUCUGGGGGAGAAAUUCACAGCCAGAGGAAAGUUCAGACAUAAACUUUGUGCCUUCUGCUUGUUUCUCACUGCAUUCCACCACACAUCACAGAAGGAGUACACUGUGCCUAUGAAGGACCGAUGAGUACAAGGGAAACUUGGAGAAGUCCCAAACUCCCAACUGCAUCAAACAAAUCAUGGAGACUGUAGAGGUAGGUGGCUCCCCUGCUGUUUUUGCACCAGCACUUGUGGGCUUUUAAUACUGGAAACAACACUUUCACCCAUGUCAUCACUUAACAGUAUAAUA
rnacentral:lncRNA from 1 species